rnacentral:rRNA from 1 species
UACGAAGGGGGCAAGCGUUGUCCGGAAUUAUUGGGCGUAAAGAGCUUGUAGGCGGUCUGUCGCGUCUGCUGUGAAAAUCCGGGGCUCAACCCCGGACUUGCAGUGGGUACGGGCAGACUAGAGUGUGGUAGGGGAGACUGGAAUUCCUGGUGUAGCGGUGAAAUGCGCAGAUAUCAGGAGGAACACCGAUGGCGAAGGCGAGUCCCUGGACAACACCUGACACUGAGGCACGAAAGCCGGGGGAGCAAACAGG